rnacentral:lncRNA from 1 species
CCUAGUUAAGUUCUAAACCAAAUCUUAGAUCUUAAAUAAAUUCUUAAUAAAUCCAAUAGAAAAAUGGAACCUCAACAAGUAAUGAUCAAAACAUUGAUAUCAAUUUAAAAUUUACACACCUCUUAAUAUUUUAAUUAGAAACAAACAAAAGAAAGAUGAAAUUGAUUGCACUUACCAAUUGAGAAAAAUGCAAGAUAAUCCAAUUAGGUGUUAGGCAUCCUCUUA